rnacentral:piRNA from 1 species
AUCAGCGGGGAAAGAAG